AUUGAACGCUGGCGGCAGGCCUAACCCAUGCAAGUCGAACGAGUGGCGGACGGGUGAGUAAUGUCUGGGAAACUGCCUGAUGGAGGGGGAUAACUGCUGGAAACGGUAGCUAAUACCGCAUACCAUCAGAUGUGCCCAGAUGGGAUUAGCUAGUUGGUGGGGGAACGGCUCACCAAGGCGACGAUCACUAGCUGGUCUGAGAGGAUGACCAGCCACACUGGAACUGAUACACGGUCCAGACUCCUACGUGAUGCAGGAGUGGGGAAUAUUGCACAAUGGGCGCAAGCAUGAUGCAGCCAUGCCGGGUGGAUGAAGAAGUCUGUCGGGUUGUAAAGUACUUUCAGCGGGGAGGCGUUACCCGCAGAAGAAGCACCGGCUAACUCCGUGCCAGCAGCCGCGGUAAUUC
rnacentral:rRNA from 1 species